ensembl:lncRNA novel transcript
CCCACCAUUUGGCAAGUCCUAAGUUCUUGUCCUGCAUCCAGGAAGAAUGAGGUAUGCGGACAACUGGAGGGUGAACAAGGUGGAAAGGAGCUUUAUUGAGUGACAGAACAGCUCUUGGGAGACCCAAAGUGGGUGGCUCCUAUCUGCAGGCAGGUCAUCCCAGUGAAUGUCCAGCUCUCAGUGGAGAGGAGACCCAGAGUGGGCAGCUCCUAUUCGCAGAGUCAUGUGGAAGCACCAGGAUCCCAUUCCUACCACUGAAAUUAAACAAAUGAAAAAAAAUUAGCAUGAAAUUCUUUGUGCGUGGACAGUGACCUGAGAAGACAAUAAGACAUUUCAAAGCAUUGAGUUAAGGAUAAUGAAGUUUAUAAAAUCUAGUGGCAAGAUAUAGCUGACUCUUGACACAGACAGAGGAAAGGCCAUGUGAGACACAGCAAGAAAGUGACCAUCUGCAAGCCAGGAAGGAGACGUUUUUUGGUUUUGGUUCCUCACCAGGAACCAAAUUAAAUGCCACCUUGAUCUUGGACUUCCAAGCCUCCAGAACUGUGAGAAAUAAAUGUAUGUUGCUUAA